rnacentral:lncRNA from 1 species
AGUGGUUCUUAUCCACGUGAAAUGAUUUUCACUAACAAUUUUUUUAGCAUUCCAUUUCCUCGUGAAUUUAAAUUUAAAUUUAAAUCCAGUAAAAUAAUUGUUUUUGGUCCAAUAAAUUGUUUAAAAUGUAUAUUUUAUUUAUUCUAACAUGGUUGUAUCUUAUAAUACGAUUCUGAAUUCAAUAUAUCUAUAGUAUGUAUUACCGAGUUUCUAGAUUCUAAAUACUUAUUUUAAAUCAUAUUACCCAUAGGCUCCUGAAAGGAGGACCAACAGAGUUAUUCCUCCUCUCCCUGAUGACAGAUCAAUAACUACAUUAAAAAUUAAAAAUAAUUUUUGAGAUUUUCGAAAAAUUAAAUUUUAUGGUUAAAUUAUGUACAAAUUCAAAUAUAAUUUUUUUAAAUUUUUAAGUAUAAUAAAAGACGAUAUUUUUACAUACUUAGAUUUUUCACAAUAUCCUGUAAUGAUACCAACUUUGGUUUCUGAAAUGAAAACCUACACAUUUUAAUGCAAAUUAUCAAUCAAAUGAUAUUUCUGGAAAUGAUGAUAUAUUUUUGAAAUCGAAAUUUUAAUAAAAAGUUGUUGAGUUAUUCUUCUUUAAGUACUGAAAAUAAUGGACUUUUAUUGGGUUUGAAUAAGCAAUUUUUUGUUUUAAAUCAUUUAUCAAAAAUCUGAUUCUAUGAUAUUAUUUGCAUUAAAACAUGUAAGUUCUCAAUUUAAAAACUAAAGUUGGUGUUGCCACAGGAUACACCUUAAAUACUGUGAAAAAUCUAAGUAUUCUAAAAUAUUGUCUUUCAGUAUACACACAAAAUCCAAAAAUCAGAAUUUAGAAUGUAUACAUAAUUUAACCACAAAAAUAAUGUGAACAUGCUUAAAACCUAGUCCUCUAUUCCUCUAUAUGCACGUAUAAAAACUGUAAUUAAUGUGUGAAUAUUAAUGUAUCGAGUACUGAGUAUUCAAAUAAAUAACAAUUAAAAUAUAAAUAUCGAGUAUCUUGUACUGCAAUAUUUGUUACAUAAAUAUUAUCUAUAACCGAGUAUUUAAAAUACUUUCAUUUUAAAAAUCUCGCCCAUCCCUGCAGACACCAUUCAACCACCAUUAUGAACUGCGUAUUAUUACAUGUAUACAAUUCUCACAUUUAAACAUUUCGUUUUUGCCGUAGGUGUGCACUCAAUAGUUCGGUCCGAAACGAGCUUGGUCUACAAACAAAAUGGGACGGAAGUUUGGUGACAUAGCUGACCUGGAUAGUCUCAUCUCACCCGUGUACGCGCUGAGCACAUCAGACGACGUCGGCUGGUUGGGCUACAAAGCGGUGCCCAUCGUCGAACCGAAACCCCGAUCAACGUUUUUCCUAAUUGAUAUUGGCAUCAGUACCAAAACGAUCGACGCCACGUUACACGUACUCGUUAUAUUUCUUGUGUUAUUCAUCAUUAUCAACUGUAUGUGUAAAUUCGUGUGGAUAUUUUUAAAAUAACCAAUUUUAUUUAUGAUUUUUUUUUUUUGUGUUACGUUCAUGUAAUUAUAGACAAUAGACAUAUUAUAAUAAGUAUAUAGAGAAGCGAAAGUUUAUUUGCUUAAUAAUAACUUGUUAUUUUUUUUAAAUGUGUCUGUUUAAUUUAUGUUUAACUUGAAAUGUAAUUAUUGUCCUAUAUAUAUUUAUCAACUAUAUAUUAUUAAGUAUUUAUUAAUUAUUUAUAGUCAUAUUGUCACAUACAUAUAAUAUAGUCGCACUAUUUAAUAUUUUGUAAAAAGAAAAUUGAAUUAAUUCUGUGUAAUACUGUUAAUAUAUGCACAAACAAAAAAA